rnacentral:rRNA from 1 species
CCUACGGGAGGCUGCAGUGGGGAAUAUUGCACAAUGGGGGAAACCCUGAUGCAGCGAAGCAGCGUGAAGGAAGAAGUAUUUCGGUAUGUAAACUUCUAUCAGCAGGGAAGAAAAUGACGGUACCUGACUAAGAAGCCCCGGCUAACUACGGGCCAGCAGCCGCGGUACCACGUAGGGGGCAAGCGUUAUCCGGAUUUACCGGGUGUAAAGGGAGCGUAGGCGGUUUAGCAAGUCAGAAGUGAAAGCCCGGGGCUCAACUCCGGGACUGCUUUUGAACCUGUUGAACUAGAGUGCAGGAGAGGUAAGUGGAAUUCCUAGUGUAGCGGUGAAAUGCGUAGAUAUUAGGAGGAACACCAGUGGCGAAGGCGGCUUACUGGACUGUAAAUGACGCUGAGGCUCGAAAGCGUGGGGAGCAAACAGGAUUAGAUACCCUAGUAGUC